GGCGGGGCUCCCGCGGAUCGGAUGAUCGCACCGAUUGACCUCGGAUCAGUGGGGGAUACCCGCUGAACUUAAGCAUAUCAAUAAGCGGAGGAAAAGAAACCAACCGGGAUUGCCUCAGUAACGGCGAGUGAAGCGGCAACAGCUCAAAUUUGAAAUCCGGCCCCGUCGGGGUCUGAGUUGUAAUUUGUAGAGGGCGCUUCGGGGGCGGCGCCGGCCUAAGUUCCUUGGAACAGGACGUCAUAGAGGGUGAGAAUCCCGUCUGCGCGCCGGCGGCCAACCCCGGGUGAACGCCUUUCGACGAGUCGAGUUGUUUGGGAAUGCAGCUCUAAACGGGUGGUAAAUUUCAUCUAAAGCUAAAUACCGGCCAGAGACCGAUAGCGCACAAGUAGAGUGAUCGAAAGAUGAAAAGCACUUUGAAAAGAGAGUCAAACAGUACGUGAAAUUGUUGAAAGGGAAGCGCUGGCGACCAGACCUGUCGCCGGGCGAACACCCGCCCUCCGCGGCGGCGCGCCCGGCCGCAGGCCAGCAUCGGUUCGGGCGGCGGGAGAAAGCGCCCGGGAACGUAGCUCCUUCCGGGGAGCCUUACAGCCCGGACGGACACGCCGCCCGCCCGGACCGAGGACCGCGCUCCGGCUAGGAUGCUGGCGUAAUGGUCGUCAGCGACCCGUCUUGAAACACGGACCAAGGAGUCUACCAUCCAUGCGAGUGUUUGGGCGUCAAACCCAGGCGCGCAAUGAAAGUGAACGGAGGUGAGACCCCCGGCUGCCCGGGGCGCAUCAUCGACCGAUCCAGAUGUCUUCGGAUGGAUUUGAGUACGAGCAUGGCCGGUGGGACCCGAAAGAUGAUGAACUAUGCCUGAAUAGGGUGAAGCCAGAGGAAACUCUGGUGGAGGCUCGCAGCGGUUCUGACGUGCAAAUCGAUCGUCGAAUUUGGGUAUAGGGGCGAAAGACCAAUCGAAUCAUCUAGUAGCUGGUUCACGUC
rnacentral:rRNA from 1 species